rnacentral:rRNA from 1 species
AUAUCACUAGGAAUAUCAAAAGCGAGGGCGAUCUGCUGGGACGAUACUGACGCUGAGGCGCGAAAGCGUGGGGAGCAAACAGGAUUAGAUACCCUGGUAGUCCACGCCCUAAACGAUGAAUGCUAGUCGUCGGGGUACUCGUUACUUCGGUGAUGCACUUAACAGAUUAAGCAUUCCGCCUGGGGAGUACGGUCGCAAGAUUAAAACUCAAAGGAAUAGACGGGGACCCGCACAAGUGGUGGAGCAUGUGGUUUAAUUCGAAGAUACACGAAGAACCUUACCUGGCCUUGACAUGGUAGGAACCCUGUAGAGAUACGGGGGUGCUAGCUUGCUAGAACCUACACACAGGUGCUGCACGGCUGUCGUCAGCUCGUGUCGUGAGAUGUUGGGUUAAGUCCCGCAACGAGCGCAACCCUCGUCCUUAGUUGCCAGCAGUUCGGCUGGGCACUCUAAGGAGACUGCCUUCGUAAGGAGGAGGAAGGUGAGGACGACGUCAAGUCAUCAUGGCCCUUACGGCCAGGGCUACACACGUGCUACAAUGGGGCGUACAAAGAGCUGCAAUACCGCGAGGUGGAGCCAAUCUCUUAAAGCGUCUCUCAGUUCGGAUUGUUCUCUGCAACUCGAGAACAUGAAGCUGGAAUCACUAGUAAUCGUAGAUCAGCUAUGCUACGGUGAAUACGUUCCCGGGUCUUGUACUCACCGCCCGUCACACCAUGGGAGUUGAUUUCACCCGAAAUCGGGAUGCCAAACCGGCUACCGCUUACGGUGGAAUUAGCGACUGGGGUGAAGUCGUAACAAGGUAACCGUA